rnacentral:rRNA from 1 species
CCCUACGGGGCGGGGAAGGGGCCGCAGAAACUGGUCAAGGCGACGGAGAUCAUGCGGCAGCACGGGUUCACGAUUGACGAGGACGUGGUGGACGCCGCGAUCAAGCGGAUGUUUGAGGGCGCGAAGGGAAAUGGGCAGACGCAGACGACGGCGUAAAAAAAAUCCUGAAAGCAGCGCCCGUUGAGAUGAUCUCAACGGGCGCUCUUGAUCGUGUUGAAAUGAGGCUACAAACCAUUAUUAAUCGCACGUUCGCUUGAGUUUUUGACAGAAGAAUGUUAAGAUAGGAACGGAUGUUCGAUUAAAGAGGAGGCUGCGAUGCCCAUGAAGAUCAACGAUCAUGAGAUAGAAUUGCACUAUGGGGACGCGCUGGAAGUGAUCCCGCACUUAGGCAAAGUAUUUUCGGCGGUCAUCACCGAUCCGCCAUAUUCGAGCGGUGCGGAGAGC